rnacentral:lncRNA from 1 species
AAGCUUCCAGGCCCUCACCAGAAGCAGAUGCUGGUUCCAUACCUCUUGCACAACCUGCAGAACUGUGAGCACAUCUGAGGAGAACACGAUGUUCUUUUCAGACUCGAACACUUCUAAAGAAAACUCCUGGGAAGCCGUAAGGACACAUCAUCUGAGCGUCCUGAGGCAGCUGGAACAUCUCCCAUGAGCUGCCCUGCCAACCCCUCCUCCCAAGCCUGCACAGAACCUGAGAAGGGAAGAGAGUGAGAAGCAUCAUGAUUGGCAGAUUGGGGAUUGUGGAAGAAAAACAUGGGGUUAUGAAUGUCAUAAAUAACAAUAUGAUUCCCAAGCAAGAAUACUUCAAAACAUGGAAGGCAUGGAAGAGUGUUGAUAAGAAAAAAAUCAUCAGCACCCAGAUGACUUUGCAGAAGAGCGCCAUUAUAUCAACUAAUAGCAAAGCAGUUCUUAUCAGACAGACUACCGGACAGACCCUUUCCUAGGUUUCAGGAGGGGUGAGAGGCAGAA